AAAAACAAAAUCGGGGUAACAAACUAAAACUGAGGGAAACGCAUUAAAUAUAAGAAGAGAACAACGACACAACAUUAAAAUGUGACACACACAGAAACGGACUAAGCAUUAUACAAAAUCCGAUGAGAAUAACAAAUAUAACAUCAAAACUAAAUACAUGAAUUUGGGAUAGAAAAGUACCGUGACACGUCUUAUAGUAAUGUGAAUUCACACUCAUAUAUAAGACAAA
rnacentral:lncRNA from 1 species